CAGUAUUUUGUUGCCAGCUAAACAUUUCAUUUCUUGUAUACAACUAUAUUUCGUUGCUGUUUUUUUUUAAUUUUUAUUUUUGUGUGUUUCUGCGGAUGCCACUCGGAGGCAGUUCAGCAUGAAGUCAUGCUUGGGCUCAGCUCCAGCCCCAUCUCUCGCACGCAUUCAUCUUAAUUAUGAAGUUUUUAUGAUGACAAUUUCGGGGGCUGCGUUUCACUCCAAGCAAAAAACUUCAAUUGUAGAUCAAGAUUGUAGUUUCUUCUGCCACUCCCAAUCUUAAUGCCAAGUGUAAACACCAGACCACCGCCGUGUCUGUUGUUCAUUAAGUGCAACAAAAACGCUGAGAAUGCAUAAAAAUAAUGCCAUAAAUUGAAUAAACAAUCCGAGCACAGUUUGCCAAUAAACAAACUUUAUGGACAAGUAAAUUAGUUUAGUGUUUACUCUGAUCUCCUCCUCCCACGACACGACUGCUAGAGGGUCUCACGAUCCGAAAUUUCAGCACUCGAUCGGAUCGGAUCGGAUCGGAUCACGUCACGUAUUCGGGAAGGGUAUGAUAAAAGACUCGUAUCAUACGGACGAAGAAAUGCAGCUGAUCCUGUGCAGCUGAACAUAUAUGCAUUUAUAGCUUAUCGUGUGAAGAACUUUACAUUAAUCACGACCCCCGUGCUACUUCCUCUUUCCGAAGUGUUGUCAUUUGCUGAUUUUACUUUUGCAGCUAUUCAGCAGCACAAAGAACUGUAGCAGACGAUUCGAUCGGGCAGUCAGAGCUAAUUUUGUUGGGAAAAUUUCAGGGGCUCCAGCUCUGUUUCCAAGUUCCAGAUGUUCCUCCAGAAGACUAAGGAGAACAGGGCUGAUAGGUUAUAUAUAAAUGCGAGUAUAUGUUCACUCAGAGAAAAAUGGAACGUCGAAAAUAAUCGUAUUACUAUUUUUAUAUAAAACUCGAAAUAAUCAGCCUUAUAAUGUGGAUAAGAACUUUUUGGCUUUCCGUUUCCUUUUUGACACACUUUUUGCUCAGUACGAU